rnacentral:rRNA from 1 species
UACGGAGGGUGCGAGCGUUGUCCGGAAUCACUGGGCGUAAAGGGCGCGUAGGCGGCGCGGGCAGUCAACGGUGAAAGCUUGGGGCUCAACCCCGAGUCGGCCGUCGAUACUCCCGUGCUGGAGCACUAGAGGCAGGUGGAAUUCCGGGUGUAGCGGUGGAAUGCGUAGAGAUCCGGAAGAACACCGGUGGCGAAGGCGGCCUGCUGGGCAGUAGCUGACGCUGAUGCGCGACAGCGUGGGGAGCAAACAGG